rnacentral:rRNA from 1 species
CUACGGGUCGCACCAGUGGGGAAUAUUGGACAAUGGGGGCAACCCUGAUCCAGCCAUGCCGCGUGUGUGAAGAAGGCCUUAGGGUUGUAAAGCACUUUCAGAUGUGAGGAAAGGUGUGUGCUUAAUACGUACAUACUGUGACGUUAGCAUCAGAAGAAGGACCGGCUAACUCCGUGCCAGCAGCCGCGGUAAUACGGAGGGUCCGAGCGUUAAUCGGAAUUACUGGGCGUAAAGCGCGCGUAGGUGGUUUCGUCAGUCAGAUGUGAAAGCCCCGGGCUCAACCUGGGAAGUGCACCUGAUACUGCGGAACUAGAGUACGAUAGAGGGGAGUGGAAUUUCCGGUGUAGCGGUGAAAUGCGUAGAGAUCGGAAGGAACACCAGUGGCGAAGGCGACUCCCUGGAUUGAUACUGACACUGAGGUGCGAAAGCGUGGGGAGCAAACAGGAUUAGAUACCCCGGUAGUC